CUGGAUUAGCUCCUGGAUUAGCUGCUGGAUUAACUCUUCGAUUAACAACUUGCUGGAGGCUAUUCAAAUUAGCCACACCGUGGGAUGUAAGGAGCUCUCUGAUUGGUUGGUCAGACACAGGCUGUCUGCCAGCCUGGAUUUUUCUAGCUCAUAGCUUCUCCCUGCUACGAAGCGUGUGUGCUUGUACAAAGGCCGUUCAGCCUCGGGAUUUACACUCGGCUCGACACGGAUAUGUGAAGAAUGAAGGGAGCCUGCAGCGAAACGGAGAGCCAACCUCUGACUGAGUGCCCGUUAACUCAGUCUGACCACCUGUUGAAGGGCUGUUUGAUGAUGAUCACACACACACACAAGGAAACAAGCAUCCUUAAAAUAAUACAACAUUCCAGCUCAUGUGUUGGAAUGGAAAACAAAUGUGUUGUUUAAAUUAGAGACUGCACUUGUGACAGAACAAUAAAUAUUUUAUUUUGAUUAUAUAAGUAAUGUAAGUACAAAACAAACUGUGGUAGACCUAAACUUAUUUUCAGAAUAAUUACAUCUGAGACUUUGUUUCAUUGUAAGAUUAUAACAGUGAUGGCAAUAUAAUUGUUUGUUGUUCAGCAGAACAGUGUCCAGUAUGUUGGCUGUUAUACUUUGUUGUGUUUGAAAAUAAAAGUUGGGCUCAUUUUAACAUCAUUACAAACAUUGUUGUUAAUUAUUUUUAAUCAUAUUCAUGGUACCACAAAUUGUUUUUUCAUUUAGUUGAACUUAACAUGUUUGUCAGUAGGUAAACAAUUAGUAUUGUACAGUCAGAAAUAUCAAGUUAUUCUUAAUACUGCAGACUUGCAAUGUAUAAGUUGUCCUAACAGUCAUCUUAAGUAAGCUUUACUUAGUUUUUUUGAGGCAACGAGUUUCCAUAAUUUUUUUGAGUUCUGGGAACUAACAAGGCUGUACAGUGUACUCAAAAUGAGUAAGUUGCCCUAACUUGGUCAUCUUACGUAAACUUGAUCCAAUUUUUUUGAGUUCUGGGAACAAAUGAGCUUGUACAGAGUACUCAAAGUAAAUAAGUUGUCCUAACUUAGUCAUUUUUAGCUAAGCUUUACUCAAUUUUUUUGAGGCAACGAGUUUCCAUAAUUUUUUUGAGUUCUGGGAACUAAUUAGAUUUUACAGUGUGUGGGAGCCAGAGAUUUUCCAUGUUUGAGGUGACCAAAUACUUAUUUGCCACACUGAUUUACAAAUAAAUUCUUUACAAAUCCUACCAUGUGUAUUCAUGGAUUUUUUUUUCACAUUCUGUCUCUCACAGUUGACGUGUACCUCUGGUGCAAAUUACUGGCCUCUGUCAUCAUUUUAGGUGGGGGCACUUGCACAAUCGGUGGCUGACUAAAUACUUUUUUGCCCCACUGUAUGAAGUGUUUCUAACAGCGAGCAGGAGGCGACUCAGAUUGUAAAGCAGACAGCGACACUGCUGAUGAUUUGCUCCGUGACCAGUUUGUGGUUUAUAUAUUUCAGCAUCUUAUUUAAUACAACAUGAUGUUAUCUUUAAG
rnacentral:lncRNA from 1 species